rnacentral:rRNA from 1 species
UACGGGGGGGGCAAGCGUUGUUCGGAAUUACUGGGUGUAAAGGGUUCGUAGGCGGUGUGGCAAGUCGGGAGUGAAAUCUCUGGGCUUAACCCAGAGACUGCUUCCGAAACUGCUGUGCUUGAGUGUGGGAGAGGCGCGUGGAAUUGCAGGUGUAGCGGUGAAAUGCGUAGAUAUCUGCAGGAACACCCGUGGCGAAAGCGGCGCGCUGGACCACUACUGACGCUGAGGAACGAAAGCUAGGGGAGCAAACAGG